rnacentral:rRNA from 1 species
GACGAACGCUGGCGGCGUGCCUAAUACAUGCAAGUCGAGCGGAAGUUGGAGAGCUUGCUCUUCAACUUUAGCGGCGGACGGGUGAGUAACACGUGGGCAACCUGCCCUGCAGAUCGGGAUAACUCCGGGAAACCGGUGCUAAUACCGAAUAGUUUUCGCCACCCCCUGGUGGCGUACGGAAAGACGGUUUCGGCUGUCACUGCAGGAUGGGCCCGCGGCGCGUUAGCUAGUUGGGGGGGUAACGGCCCACCAAGGCGACGAUGCGUAGCCGACCUGUGAGGGUGAUCGGCCAAACUGGGACUGAGACACGGCCCAGACUCCGACGGGAGGCAGCAGUAGGGAAUCUUCCGCAAUGGACGAAAGUCUGACGGAGCAACGCCGCGUGAGUGACGAAGGUUUUCGGAUCGUAAAACUCUGUUGUGAGGAAAGAACAAGUACCAAUUAACUACUGGUACCUUGACGGUACCUCACCAGAAAGCCACGGCUAACUACGUGCCAGCCGCCGCCGUAAAAC